rfam:Triticum aestivum genome assembly, contig: Triticum_aestivum_CS42_TGACv1_scaffold_050378_1BS
AUUCUACUCUCUCCGUCCGGAAAUACUUAUCCGAGGAAUGGAUGUAUCUAGAUGUAUUUUAGUUUUAGAUACAUCUAUUUGUAUCCAUUUCUAUGACAAGUAUUUCCGGACGAAGGGAGUUCUUA